GUUUUAAUAAUUUAAAUAAAAUAUUGGUCUUGUAAAUCAAAAAUAAGUUCUCUUUUAAAACU
rnacentral:tRNA from 1 species